AUGACACCUUCCAGCAUUCUUCAAGGUCAAGAGGGGAGGGAGGGAAAUGAAAGGGGAGAGGAGUUUUUUUCUUUUUUUUUUUUUCUGUUGUUAGCCUUGGUUAUUGCUGCGCUCAGGCAUUUCCCUUUGAUGCUCGCUCCUUGUUACACAAGAUGUUGCAGGCUCUGCUGCCGAGCGCCGAGGGGCAGGGGAGAUGCUGGUGGCACGGCCACCCCGGCACGGCGAGGGUGUUUGGGGCAUCACGGCCCCGCACGGCUCUGCCUGGCCCCAUGCCUUGUGCUGGAACAUCUCUGGGGUGCACUCCUCUUGCUUUGCUCUGUGCUUGGUGCCGUGCGGGCUCGGCUCACACCCAGGGGGGUUUAUUUAGCCCCUGCACGGUCCCGUUGCGUUUGCUCCACGGCACGCAUCCCCACGCAGCUCCCUCCUCUGCUGCAGGCACACGGACACCCGACGUGCUCCUGCAGCAGCACAGGGCCAUUUCUUUUUUUCAAACCAAGGCAAAAUACAGCAUUUUGUGCCGUGAGCAGCCUCUGGGCGCCAUGGGGACCAUCCUCAGAGCUAGCUGGAUGGCGAGGAGGUCGCUUGCGCCCGCGGCUCCUCCGCGAGCAUCCCCGCAGGCUGCGAAGUGACAACGAAGCGGGGCGAAAAACCAAGACAAUUGCAGCUGCUUCUCUGGAGCCAGGGCCCCAGCCCCGCCGCAGCGCCGUGUUUAUAAAUAGUAGAAGCGCGGUGUUUGCUGGCGGCGUGCAGCGGGCUCUCCCAGCACGGCUGUGCCGAGCGCGGAGCGCUGUUUAUUGUUUGCUGCGCCAGGGAGCCGCGCUCCUGCUGCGGGCGCCGUGCGUGCUGCCAUGGCCCUGCACCGCCGACGCUUGCUGUGCGCACGGGCCCCUCUACGCAGAGCAGUGCGGAUACCUAAAUUUGGGCACCCGGGCGCUGCAGCGAGCUGAUAGGGACACGCGGCAUCCUCUCGGGGGGUCUCCUGCCGCAGGACCGCAACCCCAGCAAAGAGAACUUGGCACCUCUCUCCUCGAGAUCCAACAAAUCGCUGCUAAUCCCCCUGCUCCCAGCUGCCAAAUCCUCCUCCUCCCCCCAGCCAGGGUGCUGAGCUCUUCGAGGAGACUUGCGUGCGGCCAUUAA
rnacentral:lncRNA from 1 species